rnacentral:rRNA from 1 species
UACGUAGGCAGCAAGCGUUGUUCGGAUUCAUUGGGCGUAAAGGGUGCGUAGGCGGCGCGGUAAGUCGGGUGUGAAAUCUCGGAGCUUAACUCCGAAACUGCAUUCGAUACUGCCGUGCUUGAGGACUGGAGAGGAGACUGGAAUUUACGGUGUAGCGGUGAAAUGCGUAGAUAUCGUAAGGAAGACCAGUGGCGAAGGCGGGUCUCUGGACAGUUCCUGACGCUGAGGCACGAAGGUCAGGGGAGCAAACGGG